GGGGAUUGGCGGGUUCUAUAAUGCAAGUCGAGCGAAUGGAUUAAGAGCUUGCUCUUAUGAAGUUAGCGGCGGACGGGUGAGUAACACGUGGGUAACCUGCCCAUAAGACUGGGAUAACUCCGGGAAACCGGGGCUAAUACCGGAUAACAUUUUGAACCGCAUGGUUCGAAAUUGAAAGGCGGCUUCGGCUGUCACUUAUGGAUGGACCCGCGUCGCAUUAGCUAGUUGGUGAGGUAACGGCUCACCAAGGCAACGAUGCGUAGCCGACCUGAGAGGGUGAUCGGCCACACUGGGACUGAGACACGGCCCAGACUCCUACGGGAGGCAGCAGUAGGGAAUCUUCCGCAAUGGACGAAAGUCUGACGGAGCAACGCCGCGUGAGUGAUGAAGGCUUUCGGGUCGUAAAACUCUGUUGUUAGGGAAGAACAAGUGCUAGUUGAAUAAGCUGGCACCUUGACGGUACCUAACCAGAAAGCCACGGCUAACUACGUGCCAGCAGCCGCGGUAAUACGUAGGUGGCAAGCGUUAUCCGGAAUUAUUGGGCGUAAAGCGCGCGCAGGUGGUUUCUUAAGUCUGAUGUGAAAGCCCACGGCUCAACCGUGGAGGGUCAUUGGAAACUGGGAGACUUGAGUGCAGAAGAGGAAAGUGGAAUUCCAUGUGUAGCGGUGAAAUGCGUAGAGAUAUGGAGGAACACCAGUGGCGAAGGCGACUUUCUGGUCUGUAACUGACACUGAGGCGCGAAAGCGUGGGGAGCAAACAGGAUUAGAUACCCUGGUAGUCCACGCCGUAAACGAUGAGUGCUAAGUGUUAGAGGGUUUCCGCCCUUUAGUGCUGAAGUUAACGCAUUAAGCACUCCGCCUGGGGAGUACGGCCGCAAGGGCUGAAACUCAAAGGAAUUGACGGGGGCCCGCACAAGCGGUGGAGCAUGUGGGUUUAAUUCGAAGCAACGCGAAGAACCUUUACCAGGUCUUGACAUCCUCUGAAAAACCCUAGAGAUAGGGCUUCUCCUUCGGAGCAGAGUGACAGUGUGCAUGAUGUCGUCAGCUCGUGUCGUGAGAUGUUGGUUAAGUCCCGCACGAGCGCAACCCUGAUCUUAGUGCCAUCAAUUAAGUUGGGGCACUCC
rnacentral:rRNA from 1 species